rnacentral:lncRNA from 1 species
UUUGGGAACACAUGGGCUGCCACCUCCCUGCCCCAGCAGAACUAGUACCCUCUGAUGGUCUACUUCAACCAGGAGACUCUGUCCUCUUAAAGGAACUCCAUCCUUGAUCACUCCAACCACGCUGGAUGGUACCCCAUAUGGUGAUUCUCACCAUCCCUACAUCAGCCAAACUAUUAGGCCAUCCUUCUUGGUAUCACAUUUCUUGCCUCAAGCUUGCCCCAGGCCCUAAGGCCUGGUCAUGACAAUUGGUGGGACCCACUAAACUCAAGAUCAUCUGUGGGCCUCCCACUUCUUUUCCUCUUGAGUCUGUUCCUACAGGUGCCCUGACCUGAAUGACGCUGCCUAAUCCCUACUGCUGGCGUUUCCAGCUACAGGAGACCUGGGAUGGUAAGACCCAGACAUUAGGAACCAGUGAUUGCCAAAAUGCUGGUUGCCAGACAACUGUAUCCAUUCUACUAACCAGCCUCAGUCUUCCUGGCCAAGCACCCCUCCUCUGCCUCCUCUAUGACCAAACCAAGCGGUACUGCAAGUCCCCACCAGAUAUUUAUGGAGGAUGCCCUCACACUUCCUGCAAUAUGCACAAGCUCAGAGAGACCACCCAACCCAAUUCCUAGAUACCUAUUCUGGAGGUCGGACCUAUCUGAACAUCAGAGAUCCCUGGGAUAAUCGCUGGACAGCAGGAGUAGAGAGAAAGCUGUACGUAUGGUCCUGGGACAUUUCCCCCUUUGGAACUCUUAAGAUUUUCCACACCUACACCCGAGUGCUCCACCAAAAAUCCUACAGAAAGAAACUGCACUCAUUCACCACUAGGGGCACACGAGGCAGAGAAGGGAGACCAUUUUCAUUUCUGGCCCUUGUACAAUGUCAGAG